AGAUGUAUAGUAACGAAGUAGAACUACUUCACUACUGUACUUAAGUACUAAAAGGCGGUAUCUGUACUUUACUAGAGUAUUAUUUUUUUCUCCUACUUCCACUUUUACUUCGGUACAUAUUUUCGCUGAGUUUAAUACUUUUACUCCGAUAUUUUUUUUAUGUGCUGCAUCGUUACUCGUUACAAUUAUAAUAAUGUUACGAAUCAUUCCAUUACAAACCACUGCCAGAACUGUAGAUGGCAGGUUUGAUGAAGCUGCCACAUCAUUAAGCGAAUCAAGCGAGACUGCGCGUGCUGACUGAACCAAUAGUAUCCAUCUGCAGACCCGCAGCACAGCCGUUUUAGAACCGCCGUUUCAGAACCGGAAGUGAGGGGCGGAGCUAUUAACACCUAGAAAUGGCGGAGAGCACGGUGAGUACUUUUGCUGUCAUAUGGUGAAUAAUUUUCAUUAGUUUUCACAAGUUUUUAUUAGGUGUUUAUAUUUAAUUUGUGAUUGGCUUCAUUGUCUUAUUGAAUCUUCAAUUUGUUGUCGUUUUUAAGGUGUAGAAGUUUUCUGCGGAUGUUUUGAUUAAUCUCGUGUUGUAAAUGGGCCUUGCAUAUGAAUAGUUUGUUCUCGUUUCACCUGUUGUAUGCAUUGUUUGUGAAAUAAUGUUACCGUAUAGUUUAGCUAUUUUAAUCCCAUUUGUCGUGCUUUCAUCUCUUAUAGAGACAUAUAACUAUUCAGAAUGGUGACGCAUUACCUGAGCUGCAGCAGUGCAACAAGUGUUGCAGCAAUUAUCACUGCCCUUUUUGCGCGGCCAGCGUGUUUAAGCCAGCCAAACUGGUCAAAUUAAAAACCCAUCUUCAAAGCCACUUUAACAAGGCAGUAGUCUGUGGAGGCUAUACUAUACACAGAUGUGGACUAGGAUGUAGACCAGCUCUACAUCACCACUGUCCAUACUGUGAAACAACAAUUUUAAAGAGAGGUGAUUUUGAAAAACAUGUACAGGUUUGCAAAAAAACCCCACCUCCAACUUCAGCCACAAUUCCAUCUCCAACCACUGCAGCAUUGACCACACCAGCUGUGAGAGGGACACCAUCAAAGACCCAAAUACUGUUGACUGCUAUGGUUUCAGAGCAUCAAACUGUAUGUAAUUUUGCAUAUUAGCAAAUAUGUUUAUUAUGUGUAUUUUUGUUGCAGCAAGAUGACAGCCAAAAUUGCACCUGGAACAUGGAUGCUAAUAAAAAACAAGGAUAUCCCCCAACAGAUUGGUGGUGUGGACUGUGGAGUCUUCAUGUUGAUGUAUGCUCUACAUCUUGCCUUGGGAGCACCCUUUGAUUUUACAUCUUGUGACAUGCCAAAGAUUCGGAGAUGGUGGACUCUAAUUCUUUUAGAGAACUUUGGGGUUUUCUCUGAAAGUGCAGAUACCCUUCAAGAGGCUCUUCCACACAGAGAACCAGCUAAGCUUAGCAGCAGUGAGG